rnacentral:rRNA from 1 species
GUCCACGCCGUAAACGAUGGAUACUAGGUGUUUGGGGAGUUAACCCCCUGAGUACCAAAGCUAACGCAUUAAGUAUCCCGCCUGGGGAGUACGGUCGCAAGGCUAAAACUCAAAGGAAUUGACGGGGGCCCGCACAAGCGUGGAGUAUGUGGUUAAUUCGAAGCAACGCGCAGAACCUUACCUACCCUUAACAUCCCAGGACGAUGGCAGAGAUGUCAUUUUCCUUCGGAGACUUGGAGAUAGGUGCUGCAUGGCUGUCGU